rnacentral:rRNA from 1 species
GUGCCAGCCGCCGCGGUAAGACGAACCGUGCAAACGUUGUUCGGAAUCACUGGGCUUAAAGGGCGCGUAGGCGGGUCAGCAAGUCCGGGGUGAAAUCUUUCGGCUCAACCGGAAAAGUGCCUUGGAUACUGCUGGUCUCGAGGGAGGUAGGGGUCUGUGGAACUUCCGGUGGAGCGGUGAAAUGCGUUGAUAUCGGAAGGAACGCCGGUGGCGAAAGCGACGGACUGGACCUCUUCUGACGCUGAGGCGCGAAAGCUAGGGGAGCAAACGGGAUUAGAUACCCCGGUAGUCCUAGCCCUAAACGAUGGGUACUAGAUAGUGGACUUUCAUGGGUUCACUGUCGAAGCAAAAGUGAUAAGUACCCCGCCUGGGGAGUAUGGUCGCAAGGCUGAA